rnacentral:rRNA from 1 species
UACGUAGGGUGCAAGCGUUAAUCGGAAUUACUGGGCGUAAAGCGUGCGCAGGCGGUUAUGCAAGACAGAUGUGAAAUCCCCGGGCUUAACCUGGGAACUGCAUUUGUGACUGCACAGCUAGAGUGUGUCAGAGGGGGGUAGAAUUCCACGUGUAGCAGUGAAAUGCGUAGAUAUGUGGAGGAAUACCGAUGGCGAAGGCAGCCCCCUGGGAUAACACUGACGCUCAUGCACGAAAGCGUGGGGAGCAAACAGG